CCAAAAUUGUUCCUAUCCAAUGAUAGACGGUAAAUGCAUUUUUAAAAUAUAAAAUUGAAAAUACCAGGGAUACAAAUUUUCGCAAGGUAUUGACGCCCAUGAAGACAAGAGGCUCACUGGUUGCACUAAUUACAAGAUGUUCCCAAAUAUUGGCUCCCAUUAGCAUGAAACCGGGAAGAGGCAGUAAAUGCUGCAACAAAAACGCUGAUACCAAAAGGGCUACGGUUAAAAUGGAUAUUCCAACACACCACCAAAACACUACCGAAUAACCAUCGUCCAUUGACGCUGAGGCGUUUCUUAGUUUGGGAUUGCUUGUAUCUUCCUGAAAUAAUGAUUUAGAAGUUUAGAUGUGAUUAAAUAAUAUUUGUAUGACCUAUACAUAUUUCUGCAACGGAACGUUUGAAUAUAUUGGAAAUUCUCAAAAUAAAGUCUUAAGACUUUUGAUUAACUUAUUGAUUUA